GUGGGGAAUCUUCCGCAAUGGACGAAAGUCUGACGGAGCAACGCCGCGUGAGUGAUGAAGGUCUUCGGAUUGUAAAGCUCUGUUAAUCGGGACGAAAGAGCCUAGUGUGAAUAAUGCUAGGAAGUGACGGUACCGGAAUAGAAAGCCACGGCUAACUACGUGCCAGCAGCCGCGGUAAUACGUAGGUGGCAAGUGUUGUCCGGAAUUAUUGGGCGUAAAGCGCGCGCAGGCGGAUCUGCCAGUCUGUCUUAAAAGUUCGGGGCUUAACCCCGUGAUGGGAUGGAAACUACAGAUCUAGAGUAUCGGAGAGGAAAGUGGAAUUCCUAGUGUAGCGGUGAAAUGCGUAGAUAUUAGGAAGAACACCAGUGGCGAAGGCGACUUUCUGGACGAAAACUGACGCUGAGGCGCGAAAGCCAGGGGAGCGAACGGGAUUAGAAACCCCAGUAGUCC
rnacentral:rRNA from 1 species